rfam:Camelus ferus unplaced genomic scaffold scaffold228, whole genome shotgun sequence.
GAGGGUAUAGCUCUGUGAUAGAGUGCAUGCUUAGCAUGCAUGAGGUCCUGGGUUCCAUCUCCAGUACCUCCA